AGAGAAGGAAACCAAAAGCAAAUGCAGCAGCUCUUGGGGAGCAAGCCCAGGGAUGAGGGUAAUGCCCUCCACACCACCGGCACGGGAAAGUAAAACGCCUUCCUCCCCUCGCAGGAAAAACCCACCUGGCCCCUUCAGGCAGCACCGUGCAUGGGAGGAAACGGUGAGGUUUGCCAGCCAGAGCAGGAGAGACACAGAACAGGCCUGCAACCUCAGUGUGGUCCUCCGACCUCAAGUGCUGCAUCCUCCUGAAGCCUCUCCCACCACAGAGGUGACUGGAGAAAAAGACCAGUCCCGAGAGAACAAGUAAGCUUUGGGGUCGCAAGGGACCCAGCUCCACAGUCAUUUCACAGCACUGAACCUGAAUUAGUUUCAACAGAAAUCCUGCAGGUAAAGCAGCUAUAGGACUACACACAGUAUUGCCUUUCCUUGUAACCAAAAGCUGCAUCUCUCCCUGGAUUCAAAUGCUAAUACAUCACUGAAAAAGAAUUAAAUCUAUUCAUUUUUAGGCAAA